ensembl:ncRNA lncRNA:CR46095 long non-coding RNA:CR46095
GAUUGUUUAAUUUCUCAAAUUGUUUUAUGGAUUUAUUCCCCCUGGCCGGACCGACCGGUACGACCCACGACUGUGCCGUCUGUACCGGGCACACGCCAAUGAAAAAUUAAUACCGAGGGUGGCCUGGCCGCCAAAAGGGAUUCGACUUGCUGCACCGGCGGUCAGGAGGAGGAUAGCAACAACAGCAACAACAGCAACGACAGCAACAACUACAACAAUUACAACUGGAACAUCAAAAGGCAGUGGGCUUCAUUUUUCACCGCUUUUGACAUUUUGCAGCCACCGACGGCAGCCAGAAACAAUCAGCCAACCAACCAAAGAGCAGCAACUCAAACCGACAGCCAUCUGAACAAAGGGGAUUCUGUGGAUUCUGGGGGAUCCGCGGGGAUGCCUAAUCCCCCACUGACAUACCACCGGUUGCCGGCGGACCAACGGACCAGCAGCAGAAGCUGGUUGCUGGAGCAGGAUUCAGCAGCACCAACAGAUGACGCCCUCCUGUGCGCAUAUUCCAAUCAAAUUAGAUAG